rnacentral:rRNA from 1 species
CAGUCGCCGCGGGAAUACGAAGGGGGCUAGCGUUGUUCGGAUUUACUGGGCGUAAAGCGCACGUAGGCGGAUCGAUCAGUCAGGGGUGAAAUCCUGGAGCUCAACUCCAGAACUGCCUUUGAUACUGUCGAUCUCGAGUCCGGAAGAGGUGAGUGGAACUCCUAGUGUAGAGGUGGAAUUCGUAGAUAUUAGGAAGAACACCAGUGGCGAAGGCGGCUCACUGGUCCGGUACUGACGCUGAGGUGCGAAAGCGUGCGGAGCAAACAGGAUUAGAUACCCGUGUAGUCCCUGUCUCUUAUAU